rnacentral:pre_miRNA from 2 species
CGUUGGAAGGUUAGGUUUUCGCACAUAGUUUAGCCUGUUGCCAGAUCUAACUCUUCCAGCUCA